GAUAAAAACGUGGAAGCCAAAAAUCCUACAAAGGCUAAAGUNUAAGGAAAGCCAAGUCUCACAAGUAAAGGAGACAUGAUGCUCUAGGACUCAUGCAGGUCUAAUUCACAGUUUUCUUUUCAGUGUUACCAAGUUCAAAAUGAAUAAAAAGUUCUCACCAAGGAAACAUUUCUACUUUCAAUAAUUGCUUAACACAUUUUAUGGAUUAAAAUAGAGCCUUAAAAUAGCCCUGUAUAUCUAUCUACUUGUCUGUCUCUCAUCUGUCCCUUGUCUAAUUGAUGGACAGGUUGUAAUACAUUCUUAGUAGAUAUAGAGGACAGCACACACAUCCGGGGUGGUGACACACACCUGUAAUCCCAGCAGCUCUGGAGGCUGAGACAGGAGGAUCUGGAGUUCAAAACCACCUCGGCAACUUAGCGAGACCUUGUCUCUAAAUAAAAUAUAAAAAAGGGCUGGGGAUGUGGUUCAAUGGUUAAGUGUCCCUGGGUUCAAUCCCCAGUACAAAAAAAAAAAAAAAGAGAGAGCACACAUGUUCUGAUGUUCACUCGUUGGUAGUGAAAUAUGUGAAGCCUUUUCUGAGUUUCACUGAAGAACUAAUGUUUUAAAACACGCAAACAAAUACUUUAUGUGACUAUUGGAUUUUAGAAAAGUGAUAAUCCAUAAUUCCUUUCCAUCAGCCAAACUGCACAGAAGAUAAAUUGUAAAGUUAUAUGAUGACAUCGCUGUGUGUAUGUAUGCAGAUAUAUAAAUAAAUUCGUUUUUUUUAAAUUUAAGAAUGAUAAGUCUGUAAUUAUAGAACUAUAAUCACAGAAUUAUAAAAAGAAGCAUAAUUUUAUAUAUGUAGUUAUAAAUAGCAUCAGAAUUAGUAGCUAACUUGUUUCUGAUAGGCAAUAGAUUCUUGGAGAUAAAAUUAAGAGAUUUUAAAAAUGAAAAAUUUGAAAACUUAAUUUUCGUAUUUCAUUAACAUGCAUCUUGCAAAUGUAAUUUUCUUUCUUAAAUUGAUUUGCAUUCACUCAUUUCAUCCAUAAUUUGGUUUAUUCUAUAUUUGGCUUAUUACUCAUUUUUUCAUGACAUAAUACAAAGUGUACACUAAAAGAAUUUACAGAAUACAGUUUCAAUUAAGAAUGUUUUAGGCCUUAUGAACAUAUAAAGUGACUUUGAGCAAACUCAGAAAAUAAUGUGAAUACGAGGUACUGAUAAAUUUUCUAGUUCAUCUGAAGGAAAAUGGAUUUUAUACCAAUCUGAAUGUUUCUUAGGCCUGGCUCUGUACAAGGAGAGCAAAGAAUGUUGUGUAAGGCAAUGUGGUGCAUAAACAGAACUUCCUGAUAAAAUUCAGGAUGUCAGGUGUUGCAGGGGAAAUGUGUGUGUGAAAAAUAUUGUUUGUUGUUUAUCUGAAGUUCAAGUUAGACUGGACAUCCUGAAUUUUACCUGCUCCACCUGGCAAUCCUAUGUAGAAGACCAGAUUGGAAAUGGCAUUUUCAGAGUUUACCAUAAAGCCAAACAUGGUUCUAGGCAUGUAAUAAAUGUUGAAAAUGUGUUAGCAAGUAAUAAUAAUAAAAGUGACAGAGAUAAAUAUGAGAUAUUUUGAUAGGUUGACCAAAUAUGAGAAAAGCUCCCCAAUGUGCCUCAUAUAUUGUAUGAUGUGGGGAGUGGUGAAAAAUGACUCCUUAAACAUUAUUGAGAAUAAUACCAGCUCUUGAGGAUGAAUUUCAAGCUAUAUAUGUAUCAUGCAUGGCUUAGGUAUUUGCCAAGAGGAUUAUUCAAAAAAAAAAAAAUCAAUGAAAAGCAAAAUUUUCUGUGAACAGAUGAAAAUGUGAAUAGCUGUGGAAUCAGGCCAAGCCAAGAUAUUUUAAACUAAGGUGCUUUAAGCUAUUUCCUCAGGAACCUUAAGGAGAAAGUUAAAGAACAUUCUCUAAAAAUGCACUUUAAAGAUUUAUUGCACACAAAUUUUGCUCACGUAGACCUUAUAAUUUUUAAAAAUAAUAUUAAAGAUUGAAAACCUGAACCCGCUGGUGGCUUCUUAGAGUGUACAGAACCGAAAAAGGAUAAAAUGAAAAUCCUCCUUUUCAAGACCAUUGUUUUUUUCCCUCACAUAAGUGGAAGCAGUUUUCAUAAAGAUUAUGUAAUUGCACUAUCUAGUUAAGAGAAUUGCUGGAACUCAACCUUGGCAACCUGACCUGAGGAGGUGCACUCUUUCUAUACCUUGAUAUAUAUGAGGCAGAAGAGACUUUAAUUUCAGGAAUAAUUCAAUAACUGCAAGUUUGUUAAUAAUUACUAUUUGAUGUUUUAGAUCUCCUCUGUUAACACUGCCCACAUAUACUCAUCCAACCACCUGUCAAAAGUUGUGCUGAGGAAUUUACUUCAGGCAAGUUGGUGCCAAUGAGUUAUUCUAUUGUGUUCUUGGAGAUGGGGUGGAAAGUAACAUUUAUUUAAAAUUCCAAGAUAAGGAAGAAUAGAAAUACUAUGGCAUUUUGCUGUGGCUAAACUAAUGAGAAAUUAAAUUUCAUUCAGGUUUUUAUCUUUCUUUUUGCAUCUAUAAUCUGAUGAACAUCAAACCAAUUUUCACUUUCCAUAGUCUCUAAUAUAUAGCUUUGAGAUAGGCUCAUUGUUCCUCACAAUUUAAAAAAAAAUCUUAACUUGGUGUCCUUUCUUGUUAAUUUUUUUUUUCAUUCUUUAUAUGGGAGUGUCCAUUCCUUUUGUCCAUUGCUGGCAGCCUGACUCUUGCUGUUUGUCCCUGAUGAUUUUGCUUUGGCUGCCACGCUGAAGAACAAGGGGAGACUGCAAAGACUAUGUUGCACCAUUUCCAGGUAGUUCCCCUUCCGAGUGGGGCAGAGAACUCAAAGAAGAAAGACCCCUGGCGCUGGAGAGCUCUGACGUGAUGGAGAGGGGACAGCAAAGAUAGAGUCCUCCUGCAGCUUUCCUAGCAAAUGAUGCCUUGUGACCUCUGAAAUAGAAUCUGAGCUUGCCAUGAAAGUCUCUGUAAGAUUAUCUAGUUUACCCCAGUCCCUGCAGAGUGCCCCAACAGUUCCUCAUCAGGGAUGGGACCAUCUUCAGUGAGGGAACAAGUCUUCCUCCCUGUCAGCCUGACCACAUACUGACCAGCAUAUUCCUCCCUGUCAGUCUGGCCACACCCUCUGCUAACGUGCAGAUUUCCUCAUUUACAAUCCUCCUUAGACUGGGGUCCUCACCUCUCCUGUGUUUUUCCCCUUUUGCCAAGACUCAUCACCGUUCCUCGAAGAGAAUUCCUUUGACAGCUGAAGACUGAACAGUCAUGACCUCUGAUUGUUCUUUCCAGAUCAAAUCCUUAUCCAAGAACUCUGGGCGGUAUGGUUUCCAGACCCAUCAACAAUCUGCCUGUUCUUCAAUUUUCUAUGCCUCUUUUUUAAGCGUGGUCCAAGAACUGAAUAUAAAAAUUCAAGACAUUCUCAUCAGUACCUAGUAAAUAUGAUUCUUCUUACCUGUCCCAGAAAUUAUAUCUUUAUUAUAAGAUUACAUUAGAAUUUUAUCAUUCAUAUCAUGAUUUUGACAUCUAUUUUGAUAUUUAAAAAGUCAAAGAAGUUGACUUAAUACAAGCUAUUGAUAAGUCAAAAGUUUGCUAAUUAAGUUCUUUUUUGAUGGAGAUUUGGUUAUCCAUCUUAGCACACUUUAUCAAGUUUCUCUUCACUCACAUAUUGUAUAAAUAUUUUAUUUCUUCUUUCAAGUCACUUGCCGAUCUAUAUUAGAUUGAAUUAGAUUUUUUUUUUUUAGACCCAAAUCCAAAAAGAUAUUAGUUACAUUGAAGAAUACUUUUUCCACUUUGAUUACCAUUGUGUAUUGCUUUCUUGGCCUAUUUUACUUAGAAAUGUCCUUUUUUUCCUUAGUGGGGAAAUUUCUAGAUAAGGAUUAAGACAAUCACAUUCUUUCUACAACAUACGGGAGGAAACUACUUAAGAACAAACAGUAAUUUCAAGCAACAUGUUUUAAGUAGCCUUUAAAAAUAUCAACAGUAUUACAGAUAUUUUGUGGCAAGCAAAAACACUUUUGCUUAGGGGGAAAGCUACAUGGAACUGCAUUUAUUACUUAUUCAUUCAAAUAUUUACUUAGCAUAUACUAUGUGCCAGGUUUAUUUCAUGGGGAGUGAACAAAACAGACUUAAGCUUUAAAGGAGAAAGAGACAAUCUCUAGUCAGGAUCAGAAAAUUAUUUCUGGUAAAACUCAUCACAGGAAUAAAAGUCACAGGUGAAAAACCACAUUCUGUAUUUUGGAAAUGAAGAUUGAAGUCAUUGUCAAAUGAAGCAACAAAGAGCCCUUGUAACAAAGGGCUCUCAUGGAGUAUAUUUUUUUAAGACCAAACACCAAGUUUUGUACAAGUUUGCUGUUUAGAUGGUUUUCUAUUUCUAAACUUUCUUUCCUAUUACCUGGUCACAAGCAUGUACUUGCAAAUACCUAUGCUCAUGCAGCCUGCCGUGACUUCCAGGAACUGGUUUUAAAUGUAUGUUGGGAAUUAGCAUCCGUGCUGGCUACAUCACCAAACAUGGGAAAAGAGACCCCUUCGCUGUGGUUUGAUGUUCACGGUGUUCACAUCAAUGUCCCUGUUUCCUGAGUUAGGAUUUAGACAUGGAUUUGUAAUUCUUAAGGCAUGGGAUCCUUUGGAUAUCUUUUCUCACACUCCAGUUCAGAUGGAAAUUUUUGGUACCUUACCAGUGGCAACACAGUAAUAUCAAGAGAGGGUGUUUUUUAUUCUCAGAAUACCUGUCUGGGAGAAAGCAGAUCAAGACUUUGGAGAUAAAAUAUUUUUACUUCUUUGCUGACCAGAUUCAUCUUCAAGUAAUUUUCUAACUUAAUGUUUUUUAAUACUUAGAGUUUAGGUUCUGUAUUUCCAUCUUUCAAUUGUAUUUACAAAAUAAUUUUAAUGUAACUUGAAAAGGUUACAUGUGCUCAAGAUACAAAAAUUAGAAAAUGUGAAAAAUGAAUUUAAAAAUUCACUUACAAAUAUAACCACCAAAGUUAGCUAAUGUUAUCAUUUGGAUAUAUUUAAAAAUGGAUUACAAUGUAGCCAUCUUUUCUAUUCACUUACCAUUUAUUGAAAAUAUGUGUGCAAGGUGCUAAACAUACUUCUUUCUUUUGAAUUUAAAGAUGGAUUGCAUUAAUUUUAUGUGCAUUUAACCAUUAUUUUAACAAAUCUCUGUCAUAAAGCUUUUCUUAUUUCAUUAGGGCAAUUUCUAAUAUGUAGGAGAAUACGUUUUCAGGCUUGAUGAAACCAAUUCUAAAUAAUCUAUAUAAUAAUAACUUUUUCCUUACAUUAUACAUAUAAUAUAUACCUUAUAAUGUAAAGUUGCUGAAAGUUUAUAUUUAUUAUAGUUAUCAUUAAUUAGUGAAUCAUGUAUGUAUUAUAGUAAUAAUUACCAUACUAUCAGUGCAGUAACUUCUAUAAUAGUAUUCACAUUUAUGCUGCAUAUAAUAACUAAAAUGUUUCAUUUAGUGUUUAUGCAACAGUAAUUAUUUUCAUCAUGCACAAAUGACAUAAUAAUUAAUUAGGCAGUGAUGUCAUCUCAUGGCUCAUUUCUGCCACCUAAGUGCUUAGCCAAGUCUGGAAUGUGAUAGUUGCAUAUUUUUGUUCAAUAAGUGAUUGAACAUGAAAUAAUGAAAUCUUAAUUUGAAAAAAUAACUCACACAGGGUUUCUACAUAUGUUUCUCUUUCUGCAUUUAGUAUAAAAUAUAAGGAAGGAACAUUUAUAGAGAUGAAAGUUUAUUUGAGAUAACUCUGUUUAUCCCUAAUUGAAUGCAGAGUGAAGAAUAUAAUUAGUAUUGAAAUUAUCUUCUGCUGUUUUCUCUAAUGAGAAGAAAACAGAAAUGGACACGACAGGAACCAUCAUCUGGAUGCCAAAUGCCGGCAAAGGCAGCCAACAGCUUUUUCUGAGCAGUAGCAGCUCUUCGUGGUUCUGAGGGGUUGCAGAAGUCACUUAAAUUCUCUGCAAUUAGUGAUCUUAUAAUGUCAAAUCCAUAUUUAGAAGAGGAUGCUAUUUCUAAUAAGUUUAAUCUUGGUUUUGGGAAAUCAUUGGACAAAAAUUACAAAUUGACAUAUGGUCUUUCUAAGAAACACAAGUUGGAGCUUUUUCGGCCUUUAUAAAAGUAACAUUGAAAAAACUAUAAAUAAGAAAAAUUAAAUUACAUAAUCACACCUAACAUAUUAUUUCAAAUCCCAACUUCUUUCCUAAUAUGUUUAUAUGAAGAGGACAAACAUGUCAUUUUAUAUUUCUAAAUGAAAUAUUUAAAAAAUUUUAUUUUAUUGUGGUAAUAACCACUUACGAUGACAUUUAACAUCUCAGUAAUAUAGUAUUGUUGACCAAAGGUACAAGAUAUAGCUGUUCAAAAAGGUCACAUUACAUUUUUUUUUCUCCUAGAUGAGAGUGAUGUUGGAAGCAUAAUACAAAAUCAGUGUAUUUGAUUGGAAAAUAUGAUAAAAUAAAUCCUUGUUAAUAAACUUAAUACUUCUAUAAUCAGAGGCAAUUUGAGUGCAAACAGACACAGUUCGGCUAAGGACAUUGUGUUUCUUUCCCUCCGCCUCUAGGGAUGGUAGGGAAAGUGGACUGUGUCUGGCACUGAAGAGAGAGCCUUCUUGAAUCACAGUGUGACACAGAAGUGAUGCUAUUCACCCCCCAAAAGUAACAAGUUACAUAAAGAAACCAGUGUCAGGUCUGGGUUCUCAAAACAAGGUUUUGCUCCCAAGAGUGAGCUGCAGCAUUAUCUGUAAAGAUUCCUAUUCCUACCUCUCUUUAUUUUUCCUCUUUCUUACAGAUAUGCCAAGUUCUUAUUUUCUUUGGUGCUUGCAAAGGAUUAGUUAGCAUAAUGUGAGGUGUUGAGUAAUAGCUCUACUGCUUCUCUUUCUGUUUAUUGAGGAACUUCUGUCACUUGUUUGAUUAAGUAUUGUACCUGCUGGUUUUUGAAGCACCUGAACAAAACCCCCAAAUUUAAGAUGAUCCAUAGUGAUAAUUUUAUAUCCAGUGAGGACAACUACAUCAGCCAGAGGGACUAUGGUGAUGCUUCAUACAUAGACCUCUACAACUCCUGAGAGUCUAGAAACUUCUGAAGGAUCAAUCUCAACUGAUACUUGAAAUUUGGGCUUCAGUCCAAAAGAGAAUGGUGCAAAUCCUUGUGAAGUAUAGUGCCCAUUACUUUGUUGCAUCUUCUUGGUUUUAUACUGGAUGUUUGGAAUAACGUAGGGGAGGGGGAUAAAAUGAUAAAGGAAGGAAAGAAAGUUGGCAAUUUGCACCAUUGUUUUCUCUUAAUAAUUGCUCUUUCCGAAGAGUGCAUUAGCAGAAAACAUUUCUGAUCUUUAUUAACUUGGCAGGGUGUUAAUCCUCAGGUCAUAGGAAUUUUUGUACAACCUAAACAUUUUGCUAAAACAGUGCAGUGUUUAAAGGGAAAAAAUCAAUACUGUACAAUACUGCACGUGUAUGGAUAUUAAAUGCUGUAUGGUAUCAUUGAAAAAUUCUGUUGCAUUUGGAGAUUUGGAUGCUGAUUUACAUAUGGACAAGGGAUACUGGCAUAGCCAAGAUGAGGAGGAAUUCUAGAUGCAUCUGAAGAGUUCAUCUAUUGCUAUGGAAACAGAUAGAUCCUAGCAACAGCAGCUUGGUACAGAGCUGACAUGCAGCAGCCCUUAAGCCUAAAACAAGAGGAAAAUGAGCCGUGAAGAAAUCUUAUAGUAUUUAUAUUUUUUUAAAGUUUGAAGUGUACAGUAGAACAUUCAUACAUAAAUAUGUCAAAAGAAUAAGCCUAUAGAAAUUGAACCUUAUUUUCUCACCAUCAUAGGACCCAACAUAUUACUCAGUAUAUUAUAAUAAUGACUGUAUUUUUUGAUUGCAAAAUAAAAUGCCACAUAUCAGAUAGUCAAUACUAGACUAUAUUUUUGCUGAAUCCAGAGAUAGUUAUUCAAUGAUGCUUUUAAUAUACAAGCUUUGUCCUUAGCAAUUCUUAGAACCUUAUCAGUAUAAAAUUCUCUAAAUACUUCUCAGUAAAUGAAAGAGAAAUUCAUAUGACUUUAGGAGUUUAAUCAAAGCUUAAAAAAUGUUGUGGUUAUAUCUUUUUAUUAAUAGAAAUAGAAUAGUUUUCUUGUGCAUUAAAUUUUCUAGCUAAGUGCUUCAAAUAUUCUUCUUACAUGUUAAAACAUUUAUUUAUGCAAAAUGAAAAUGAAAACCAAAUGUUUGUAAUAAUUUCACAAUAUUUUGUAUGGUGUGCUUGUGUUUGUGUGUUUGUGUGUGUGUGUUUGUGUGUGUGUGUGUAUCUGUCUUUCAAUUUUAGCAAAUAGUUACCAGGGAACAGGGAGUAUUUUUUUUGUAACUUUCAAUCAUGACAUAAAAGAUAUGAAAUUAACAUUAAUUAAAGGCUUUUGAAAGCCACACUAUCGUAUUUAUUGGACCACAGAAAGUUACAUCUGGAGUAGAUCAAAUACUUGCUCUAAUAAAAAUUAACACCUUGACAGGGGGAAUGGUUUGAAUUUUAUUUUAUUUUUUGAAGAAAUAUAUUUGCUUCCUGCUUGGGCAUGGAACUUCACAUUUAUGAUUUUUUUUUAACAGUAGAAUCUCGUCAAAUGUAAUUAUAAAUAAAUAAAAAAAAACAACCUCACUGGAAUGAGUCACUUGUAAAAGAGACUAUCAAAAAGUGUAGGAGGAAGAUACUCCAAACAUGAUGAACUGCAAGAAGAGAGAAGCUUUGAGAACUUUUCAUUAAGCUAGGUUUGUAGUGAUUGUUUUUUUUAACUUGGUGCUAAGGGAUAGAGAUCUCAGGGCCUCUUGCAUGCUAAGCAUUUGCUCUACCACUGAGUCACAUACCCAGCCCUAUGUUUAUAAAACAUUUUAUUUUGAAGGCAAAAGUAAAUAUUUGGCAGUGCAAGCCAUUUUAGGUGUCUGAUCAUUAGUCACGGAUGUAAAUGUCUCUAUUUGUAAUUGUGCUGCUUAGUCAAACAAUACUUUCUGCUCUUUGUACUGUCAAUAACAGGGAACCAGAAAAGAUACCAGUUGUUUUUCUCUGUACAGAAACUCCUUACCAUUUAAUAGAUUACCAAUGGAAAGUGGAGCUUAUUAUGACUAUUCCACAUAAGCUUCCAAAUAAAAAUUUGUAUUAAAUAUGCCAUUAAACUAACUUCAAAAAUCUAGAUCACUCAUGAACUAUGAAUGAUACUGACGCCCAACAAGUUUGUGGAGGGACAGGUUUCAUAUCUGUAGGUUUGUUAGCCUGUGUUGUGAUUUUGGUGAGCCACGGCACGUCAGUUGGCACUACUGAUGAAAGCCCCAGAUCCCUGUCUUCUCACAGUCAAUGAAUUGAAGCAAAUAGGAGGCCUGAUGACAAAUGGCAGCAAUGAGUAUUGGCUUGGGCUUUAGCAUCCCUCUGUUUCUAUUAGCUUAUGAAAUCAUCAACAUCCGUUUUGAUAUAAAUGAUAUGCUUUCUAUCUGAAUGUAACGUUAAUAUACAUCCUGUGGACUUCCCCUUUCUCUUUUCCUGGACCCUUCAAGAUUCGGGAUCCUAUCUGUACUCUCAAAAAUUUGAGAACUGUGGCUGAGAACAUGUGAAUGUCUGUUUACCAUCACAUAGAGAACUGUGUGUAUGACUCAAAGAACCAAGCUCAGUGAUGACUGAUUUUCAUAUCACUUGGACAGUGGUGUCUAAACUGCUCCAUUCUUGAUAGAUUGUUUUUGUUUUAGCUCUCAUGAGGAGAGUCUCAGAACCCAGAAAAAUUAUCCUGUUUUAAUUUAGUUACAUCUCUAUCUAUACUGGUUAAAACAAAAAUUUGAAGGUAGUCCUGGAAUUUUAUUUCCCAACUCUUAUUUACAAUCACUAAGUCCUAUCAAUAUAUUUUUAAAACAAUUCCCCUAUAGUGCUACUAUGCGAGGCUUCUAACUCCUAUGUCUACUGCUGUCUGUUCUCACUUCAAUCAAUCUUUCCCACAAUUUCUUCCUGAACUUUCUCAACUCCAUUUCAAUGGUUUUGGUCUCCUACUCAAAACUUUUUAAUGGCCCCCUAAUCCCCUCACAAUAAAGUAAACUUCUGUUGUAGGAUACAGGAUCCUCAAGACCUGACCUUUGCCCAACACUCCAGCCUUAUGUUUUCUCUGCUCUUUAAAAUUCCAAGCAACAGCCUGUUUUCUGAACUGUGCUUGCUUUAGCCCUUUACCCCUCACUAAGAAACUUCCUUAAUCUCUAAAACAGGUUCCAUUUGUCCUUCAAGACCACCAAACAUGUUAUUCUAAGUUUUUUAAAAAGGAGAAUUGCAAACACAUAUAAACUUCAGGUAUAAUGAACCCCAUGUAACCACUAACAUAUACAACUACUUUCCUAUGGCUAAUAUUUUCUAGUUUCUCCUUUGUUAUUUUGUAGCAAUCCUAUUAAUCAUAUUAUUUCUUCUUAUUAUAGCUCUUAAAGAUAUUUUGAAAAUCAAAUUCAAUAACAUUGCCUAAAAAUAAUUAACAGUAAUUCCUUAAUACCCCAUCUAUUUGACAUGUGUUAUCACUGUAUUUUUAAUUUACUGUUUUUUAAAUGUCUUGCCAUUUGCUACUGGAAUCUGAAUCAGAAAAGGGCCACAAAUUGCAAUUGGUUUAUGCAUCCAUUAUCUAUAAAUUUUCUUUCUAACACUUUCCCCCUGGCAACUUAUUUAUGGAAGAAAUUAGAUUAUUUAUACAGGGGAGAUUCCAACUAUCUAGAUUUUGCUGAUUGUUCUUUAAUGAUGUUCUUCUGUCUUCUCUUUUGUCUGUCUUGAUAAUUGGAUCUAGAAACUUAAUUACAUAUAGGUUCAAUUUUUUUUUUUUUUUUUAAGUAAGACUACUUCGGUGGGGCUAUGGUGUCCUUCCAUCAUGAAUCAGGCACUGUGUGGCUACUACAUCUAUUUUCAUGGUGCAAGGAGCUGUUUACAAUUUGAUUCAUUAAUUCAUUAUGAGCUGGGAAAUUGUGGGAUCCCCUCCAUCAUUUAAUAAUUAGAUUACUUCAAAAAGUAAAAAACUCCCUUCAUUUUUUUAUUUGGCUUUCGAUGGUAGAACUUAUUUGCCACUUUUUAUUUAUUUACCAUCUUUCAAAACAGUAGUUGACCAUCACUUAUAAAAAGUGUACUUGGAAUCAUAUGAAAAUGACACACUUUAUGUUUCUGUCAUUUUAGUUAUUUUUCUCAUCAGUAUUCAAAUUUUCUCAUUUUUGGUCAAUAGGAAUCUCUUAGGUUGUCUCCUGAGCUUUCUUUGUUGAGCUUUAUGAGUCUUUUUCUUCUUAAAUAUCUGAUAUAACAAAAUGUUUCAGGCUCAAUUUGUUUAUUUCCUACCUAGAACUGAAUCAGCCAUUUCUCAAACUAGCUAUUCUGUUUCUUUGAAUAAAAGAUAAGAAAUAUGAUGUGUCAUAAUUAUAUUUUUAAUUCAAAUUCAGGACCAUGGAGAUUUUGAUGAGUCUCUUCUACCUUACAUCUGUCUUACUCCUGCACUGAGAAUCCUGGUUCUCAAAGGUGUUGGUUGUGACAGAAUACCACAGAGGUAUCUAUUUAAUUUACCUCUUAUCACACAUAGAAUGAUAUCAGAAUUAUAACAUAAACAUUGCUACCAACUAUAUGAUUUGCAAGAUAAUUCAAUUUAUUUCCCUACCUCUCCUUGUCCUUUUGUCCUGUUUAUCUUGUUAGUCAUGGUAAACCUUUAAAGCCUCAUAGUAGUUUCUCUCUGUGUGGACAUAUCAUAAUUAACAUACCCUGUGGGGUUCAUUUGUGUCAAUUCAUUCAGGUUUCUUAAGUGGGUUGGUUGUGGAUUAGUGACCAGAGCACAUGCUCAGCAUGAGAAAAGCCGUCUUGUGAUCCCCAGAAACACACACACACACACACACAAUUUCUUAAAAUUAAAAAUAUGCACAAUUGAUUUUUUUAUUACAUCAAAUAUUUUCAUAAUUUAAAAAUCAAAAUGAAGGUGUCUAGUGUCCUCAUUCCUAAUACUUCCUUUAUUUAUGGAUAUCAAUUUUUUAAAUAUUAUUUUUUUGUUAAUAUGAAAUGUACACACAAAAAAAACACACUAAAUUACAUUUUUUAAAGAGAUACAGUGCACCAUACUAUACAUUCUUUUUGCCUUGCUUUUUUUUAGUAAAAACUUUCGCUAAAAUCAGUUCCUACUAGGAUAUAUACAUAUUCCUCAUUCAUUUAUUACUGCCUUAUAGUAACACAUUGUGGCUGUGUGAUAUAAUUUAACUAACUCCCUACUGAUGUACAUUUAAGUUGCUCUAACCAAUAAUUCCUGCAAUGAAAAGCUUUACUUAUGUUUUUAAAAUUGUCAUGUCAGUAUAUAUGUGAGGUAUAUUUGUAAACCUGGGAUUACUGGUCAAAAGAUAAAUGCUAUGAAAUUUUGCUGGACAUUUUCAAAUUUUCCAUUGCAAUGUCUCUAUGCUAGUUUCUCUGUAGAGAUACAUUAAAGUGCCUCUUUUUUUCAGUUUCAUUAAUUGUUUUCUGAUUUUGUGACAAGCUAAUAAAUGAAAAACUCUUGGUGAAGUUUUUUUUUUUUUUUCUCUUCUCGUGAACAAAGUUGAAUACUUAUUCACAUGAUUAAACCACUUGCAUUUAUUAUUUCUACAAAUUGAUCUAAUCUCUAUAGGCCAUUUUUAUAUAGGGCCAUCAAAUCUCUUCCAUUUUUAUCAACAUUAAAUAAUAGUAGGGUUACCAAUCUGUUACUAUUUUAAAUGAUCAAUAUUUAAGUCAUCAAUCUAUUUCGAACUUAUCUAAAUUCCUUAUUACCUUCCUUAUAGUAUUUUAGGCCAUUGGAGAUUUUUUGUUUAAGCCUUAUAGUUUUUCUGUACUACUUUGCUUUUUUCUUUUUGCCUCCAGAAUUUGAAUCCUAGGUGGCAAGGUAUUUCCACUAAAGUUUACGGUACUUCAGCCAAGUUGUUCUAGCACUUGGUUCAGGGGGUUGUGUGUUUCACUCUGAUCCAUUUGACACUUGCCUUGUUGAAUCCUGUGAGUAACGGGUCCAGCUUCACUGCCUAUCUAGGUAGCUCUCCAGCCAUUCAAGGGCCGCUGAUUAAAAGGAAAAACAGAAACAAUGGUACAAAUUUGAGAUUGUCUUUCAUCAUACAUCAUUUGUAUGUGCAUUUCAGAGUAUUUAUCAUUUUCUAUGGUUUUGUUUAAGCCAUGCACAAACCCCACAGUGUUUCCAGUACAGCAGCUUUAUGGAUCAAAUUAGCUUUAUAUUAACAGGGCUGUUCCCUCCUUCCUCUCCAUCUUCAGAGUUCUCUUUGGUUUCACUGCUUACUGGUGGUGGACUGCAACCUGAGCAUUCAGAGGAUGCUUCACCUUCCAUCUUGAGAUUUCUUUCUUGUUCUUUUUAACAUGCUUAUUAAUAACAUUUAUUUUAUUAUUUAAAUAACAUUGAACAUACUUCUUUUCAAAGAUAAUAAGUCAGAAUAAAGUCUUAAAAUCCAUCUAAAGUCUAACUCAUGACAUUCCAAUAUUAAUAUAUAGUAUUUUGGGUGCUAGCAAAUCAUUCUGUUUCCCCCUGUGGUAGCUGACUGGCAGACUCCAGUUCAACUUAGCAAGUUAAGAGUGGAAUUAUUCACCUGGAACUCUACAUUUUUUAAAAAACUGUUCAAGGUGCUUCUCCAAGCAUUCCUCUCCUACUUAUACUUAGAACAUCAUGCUGAAGAUACUAUCCCUUUUCUGGUCGCAAAGAGAUCAUCCUUCACUCUUCACUCUACGUUGAACAU
rnacentral:lncRNA from 1 species